GAGAUUGUAGCUUAAGUGGGAGAGCACCUACUGCAAGGUAGAAGGUUAUGGGUUCGAUUCCCAUCAAUCUCU
rnacentral:tRNA from 1 species